rnacentral:rRNA from 1 species
UACGGAGGGGACUAGCGUUGUUCGGAAUUACUGGGCGUAAAGCGCACGUAGGCGGAUUUGUAAGUCAGGGGUGAAAGUCCCGGGGCUCAACCUCGGAACUGCCUUUGAUACUGCAAAUCGUCGAGUCCGGAAGAGGUGAGUGGAAUUCCUAGUGUAGAGGUGAAAUUCGUAGAUAUUAGGAAGAACACCAGUGGCGAAGGCGGCUCUCUGGACCGAUACUGACGCUGAGGCGCGAAAGCGUGGGGAGCAACAGG